CUCCGGGUCCUAUAAGGCGCUUGCUUGUUUAAGUACAGUCUCAUUUAGUUGGAGCUGCAGGGGAGUAAGGGAGAGGAGGGUAGGAAAGAAGAGAGCGGGAGAGCUCGAGGAAAAAGAGGGCUCUCUGUGCUGACACCAGGUUCGGACUGCGAGCAUCCUUCAGGACCGGGCUCGCGCUCUUGGAGAAGAGAGCGAGGCUGUGCUGGGAUUCGCUGGGAGACUGCUCAGUCCGCGUCGCUGGAGCUGGGAGAGCCCUGAGGGAAACCAAGGGAAGCGAGCAGCGCGUUUUACUAGAGAGAGCAGGAGUGAGGAGAGACGGCUGGAGCGCUUGGCGACAUGAGGACCUACUGGCUGCACAGCGUCUGGGUGCUGGGGUUCUUCCUGUCCCUCUUCUCAUUGCAAGGUAGGGGGAGCCUGUGGCGACCCCGCGCGCCCCCUCCUGCCGCCGCUGGGUCCGGGAUGCUCGAUGGGGUCACCAGCGCUCUGGGUCUACACAGAAUCCGGCUUAUUGACAAGUCCGGUGAUGCGUUUCUACCCGCGGUGCUGUAGUCCAGGCUAGGUCCCGAGGCGAGCGGGAACCUGCAGACUUGCUGCAAUAUCCAUGCUGGUGGUGGCAGAUUCAGAGCUGGCCUGUGCGGACUGGGGGUCAGAGAGGAGCAUGUGCGGGUCUGGGUGUUUGUGUGUGUGUGUGUGUGUGUAUGUGUGUGUGUGUGUGUGUGUGUGUGUGUGUGUGUGUGUUUUGCCGGUGAGGCUGGUAGUGCUGGUGGUGCUGGUGUGGUACUGGUGGGAGGCAGUGGCAGGGAUUCUGGGGUUGCUCCUCUGUAAACUCCAAGAGCUGCCUUGGUAUUUGCUGUCCCCGCGUCCGCGGUGCUGAUACCUCUGCAUUCCUGCUCUUCCAAGAGGAAACUGGCAU
rnacentral:lncRNA from 1 species